CGGGUGAGUAACGCGUGGAAAACCUGCCGUAUACUGGGGAUAACACUUAGAAUAGGUGCUAAUACCGCAUAAGCGCACAGCUUCGCAUGAGGUGGUGUGAAAAACUCUGGUGGUAUACGAUGGUUCCGCGUCUGAUUAGCUUGUUGGUGGGGUAAUGGCUCACCAAGGCGACGAUCAGUAGCCGGCCUGAGAGGGUGAACGGCCACAUUGGGACUGAGACACGGCCCAAACUCCUACGGAAGGCAGCAG
rnacentral:rRNA from 1 species